UACGGGGGGGCAAGCGUUGUUCGGAAUUACUGGGCGGAAAGGGCGCGUAGGCGGCCUUCUAAGUCAGACGGGAAAUCCCUCGGCUCAACCGAGGAACUGCGUCUGAUACUGGAAGGCUUGAAUCCGGGAGAGGGAUGUGGAAUUCCAGGUGUAGCGGUGAAAUGCGUAGAUAUCUGGAGGAACACCGGUGGCGAAGGCGGCAUCCUGGACCGGUAUUGACGCUGAGGCGCGAAAGCUAGGGGAGCAAACGGG
rnacentral:rRNA from 1 species